UGCAUGAUGAGAGUUAUCAUGUUAUAGUAUGACAACGAAGCCUUUAUUUUCCAUGCAUUUUCUCUCUCUUUUCUUCAUCAACCAAUCAAAGAGUAAAGAAGAUUGAAUGGACAGUCACGUCAAUUGCAUUAGGGGGGAACAAGGUGUGCUGCCUCUGCUAGGCAGGAGCGUCAAAUGCAGCUCAGAGCCGAGAGAGACGAACCAUUUGUGCCACAUCAAGAAGUGCAUUAGGUAGGGAUAGAUCAGGAGACACAACCACAUCAGGCUCUGGAGUCUUUAUUUUUCAUAUUUACGGUUAAAAUAGGGACUUAAUUGAAGUCGGUUCAAUAUGAGCAACAUAUUUUUUGUUGUCUUAAUCAAACCGGUAUCAAUUAAGUCACUAACAUCUACUAUCAAGAGAUGACGUGUGUGAUGUUUGAAGUUUUAAACAUUGUUCAAGUACUAUUCCACGAUAAACCAUUCAUGAA